rnacentral:lncRNA from 1 species
GAUCUUGCCAGGUAUUGGAGAAUUGGCAUUUGGUGAGCAAAUUAAGGUAAGUAACCUGUCUUAAUCUUAUUAUGGAUCAUGUAUCACGUUUUAUAAGAUGAAAAAGUAUUAUUUAUGCAAUUGGAAUUAUGUAUAAGAAUUGUGGAAAAAGUAUCUGAUAUAAUCUUAUGUUUUAUCAAAUACUUGUGAUUACUCGAUUAUGAAAUUGUAUAUGAUUAUUUAUGUUUUCACAAAAUUAAGAUCAAGCAUGUGUUAGCAAAUGAUUACAUGAUUUUGGAUAUAUAGCAUCCAUCAUUAUUAUUAUUAUUAUAUUAUGUACACAUGAUUAUGAUGAUGUAGAAAGAUGCAUGGAAAAA